UAGGUUCACAGCAAGUGAUGACACCUCA
rnacentral:piRNA from 1 species